ensembl:ncRNA lncRNA:CR44558 long non-coding RNA:CR44558
CAUGCUUUCCCGUCUGGUUCUGUGUAUGCCUAUGUAUUUUUUAUGAUGCUUGAAAAUAAAUAAACACUCAAUACCAAUGCCAAAGAGCAGACGGAGCCAACUUUCAGUGGCAGACACCAGAGAAUCCGUGGCAGAGGCGAUGGGAAAGGCAGACUGGCAGCAUCGCGCACAUUCAAUAAAUCUUCAGCUGUGAAUAGUCACUUGAGACGGAAUCGGAGGAGGAAGAGCAGCUUCCCAGGACACUGGGACUCGAACGCCUUUCGCUUUCAGUUUCAUCUGCUCCUUUCCACCUAAUGGCCGCAGUCAUGAGCUGUUGGAUAAUAAUAAUGAUGAUGCUCUCAUACCGGCAUAGAACGUGUUUUGCUGGGCAUAUUGGAGCUAGUGUGUGAAAAAGCGCAGCUUGCACGUAUGAACGACGGACUUAAGGCCUCUAAUAGCCUCAUAUUUUGCACUCCAAUACAUAACUCACUGGGCGCCGGAAGCGGAAGUCGAGAACGGAGGACGCGAGAUCAAGACCAAGGCCAAGAGCUCUGAGACAAUGAACAAAACAGGAUAUAAGUCCCCAAUGAUUUGCCGAAUAUUUGAUAUCCUAAGUAUAUGAUUAGGGGUGAUUACAACGACCAAGUUCAAGUGCACUUUAUGAUUUCAAUAAAGUAAGAAUCCCACCAUUUUAACUACUAUUUUUG